rnacentral:rRNA from 1 species
AGUGGAUGGGGAGCAACCUAGUUGUGCGUGUGUAAAGGUAGUGCCAAGAAAAGCGAUGAUCAUGUUGAAAAUCAAUUCCCGGUACCCGAAACCGACACAGGUGGGCAAGUAGAGAAUACUAAGGGGCGCGAGGUAACUCUCUCCAAGGAACUCGGCAAAAUGACCCCGUAACUUAGGGAGAAGGGGUGCCACCGAGAGGUGGUCGCAGUGAAGAGGCCCAGGCGACUGUUUAGCAAAAACAUAGGUCUCUGCAAACUCGAAAGAGGAGGUAUAGGGGCUGACGCCUGCCCAGUGCCGGAAGGUUAAAGAAGUUGGUCAGUUUUAGGAUGAAGCUAGCGACUGAAGCCCCGGUGAACGGCGGCCGUAACUAUAACGGUCCUAAGGUAGCGAAAUUCCUCUCGGGUAAGUUCCGACCCGCACGAAAGGCGUAACGAUCUGGGCGCUGUCUCGGAGAGAGGCUCGGCGAAAUAGGAUUGUCUGUGAAGAUACGGACUACCUGCAUUUGGACAGAAAGACCCUAUGAAGCUUUACUAUAGCUUGGAAUUGUGUUCGGGCUUCCUGUGCGCAGGAUAGGUGGGAGGCGUAGAAGGUAUUCUUGUGGGGAUACUGGAGCCAACGGUGAGAUACCACUCUCAGGAGGCUAGAAUUCUAACUUAAUUAAGGACAGUUUCAGGUGGGUAGUUUGACUGGGGCGGUCGCCUCCAAAAAGGUAACGGAGGCGUACAAAGGUUCCCUCAGACUGGUUGGAAAUCAGUCGAAGAGUGCAAAGGCAGAAGGGAGCUUGACUGCGAGAAGUACAGUUCGAGCAGGGUGGAAACACGGUCUUAGUGAUCCGACGGUGCUGUGUGGAAGGGCCGUCGUUCAACGGAUAAAAGUUACUCUAAGGAUAACAGGCUGAUCUCCCCCAAGAGUUCACAUCGACGGGGAGGUUUGGCACCUCGAUGUCGGCUCAUCGCAACCUGGGGCGGAAGUACGUCCCAAGGGUUGGGCUGUUCGCCCAUUAAAGCGGUACGUGAGCUGGGUUCAGAACGUCGUGAGACAGUUCGGUCCAUAUCCGAUGCAGGCGUGAGAAUAUUGAGAGGAGCCUUCCUUAGUACGAGAGGACCGGGAAGGACGCACCGCUGGUGUACCUGUUAUGAUGCCAAUUGUAAACGCAGGGUAGCCAAGUGCGGAGAGGAUAACCGCUGAAAGCAUCUAAGUGGGAAGCCCACCUCAAGAUGAGUAUUCUGGUGUAAGGUCACGGGAAGACGACCCGUAAAUAGGCACGAGGUGGAAGUGCAGAGAUGUAUGAAGCCGAAGUGUACUAAUAGACCGUCGGCUUGAUC